rfam:Burkholderiales bacterium RIFCSPHIGHO2_12_FTLL_61_11 rifcsphigho2_12_scaffold_7432, whole genome shotgun sequence.
UGUCUCCUCCACCUCCUCAAAGGGUGGAUUUAUAGGCCCAGACCGCAAGGUCUGGGCCUUUUUUU